rnacentral:rRNA from 1 species
CCUACGGGAGGCAGCAGUGAGGAAUAUUGGUCAAUGGACGGAAGUCUGAACCAGCCAUGCCGCGUGCAGGAAGACGGCUCUAUGAGUUGUAAACUGCUUUUGUACAAGGGUAAACCUGAAUACGUGUAGUCAGCUGAAAGUACUUGACGACUAAGGAUCGGCUAACUCCGUGCCAGCAGCCUCGGUAAUACGGAGGAGCCAAGCGUUAUCCGGAUUUAUUAGGUUUAAAGGGUGCGCAGGCGGCCUGUUAAGUCAGCGGUAAAAGCCCGGGGCUAAACCCCGGCGAGCCGUUGAGACUGGCGGGCUGGAGUGGGAGCGAAGUACGCGGACUGCGCGGUGUAGCGGUGAAAUGCUUAGAUAUCGCGCAGAACCCCGAUUGCGAAGGCAGCGUACCGGCUCCACACUGACGCUGAGGCACGACAGCGUGGGUAUCGAACAGGAUUAGAUACCCUUGUAGUC